UGUCCAGGGAUGGGAAUCGAACCCACAAUGUUCCACCCACCGGGCAGAUGCCAUGUCCACUAGGCUCCACCAUUGAC
rnacentral:tRNA from 1 species